UACGAAGGACCCAAGCGUUAUCCGGAUUUAUUGGGCUUAAAGGGUGCGUAGGCGGGUUAUUAAGUCAGUGGUGAAAGCUCCGAGCCCAACUCGGAAAUUGCCAUUGAUACUGAUGAUCUUGAGUACAUUUGAGGUGGGCGGAAUGUGUCAUGUAGCGGUGAAAUGCUUAGAGAUGACACAGAACACCGAUUGCGAAGGCAGCUCACUAAACUGUAACUGACGCUGAGGCACGAAAGCGUGGGGAGCAAACAGG
rnacentral:rRNA from 1 species